GACGAACGCUGGCGGCGCGCCUAACACAUGCAAGUCGAACGAGCGAGAGAGAGCUUGCUUUCUCGAGCGAGUGGCGAACGGGUGAGUCACGCGUGAGGAACCUGCCUCAAAGAGUGGGACAACAGUUGGAAUCGACUGCUAAUACCGCAUAAGCCCACGGCCCGGCAUCGAGCAGGGGGAAAAGCAGCAAUCCGCGUUGAGAUGGCCUCGCGUCCGAUUAGCUAGUUGGUGAGGUAACGGCCCACCAAGGCGACGAUCGGUAGCCGGACAGAGAGGUUGAACGGCGACAUUGGGACUGAGACACGGCCCAGACUCCUAGGGGAAGCGGGAGUGGGUAAUACAGCACAGUGGGGGACACCAUGAUGGAGCGCCGCCGGGUGGAGGAAGCAGGUCUUCGGAUUAUAAACUCCUGUUGUUGGGGAAGAUAAUGACGGUACCUGACAAGGAAGUAACGGCUAACUACGUG
rnacentral:rRNA from 1 species